CCAUGGAAACAUUUAAACAGCACAACAAACUAAAAACAAAUUAAAAUACAAUAUGAUACAAAUAAACUACAAGGACAAAAAGAGGAUAGCAAGGAGAAGGAAAAAAGUCUGUCCCGUACAAUAUGUAGGCAUGGCAAGCAUCCAGUAAUGGCUUGUGGAAAACAAUUUAAAAAGAAACACAGAUACAUGCAAAAAUAAAAGAGAAAACAAAUUACGUUUACUUACAAUCAGACGAAACGGCAAGGAGGACGAGCAACAACAAAGCACCAGCAGGCAUGAGCAGAGGCAAUGCAGUAGUUGCAUUGUCCCGUCAAUACCGGCCAGCUCCGUCAUCCUCCUGUACCACAGCCAUGCUGCUGGAUUAUGGGCGUCUCAGUUGUGUAGUGGCAUGUUGGAUAGGAAACGCCGUCGUCAAUGUAUUAAUGGCCUCCAGAAGUUAAAGAGUACAGCAGUUGUGGUCCAUCGAGCGGCAAUCUGGUCCGGCCGCCCGGAAGUUGGCUGUGUGUCUGAGUGUGUGUGUGUGUGCCGCAUCAAGUAUUCGGGAAUGGCUUCAAAACUCACCCAAGCUGGCUGGCAUGGCAUGGCCAGGCCAAUGUGAGUGAAGGCAGGCUAAAGCAGCACACAAACACAGACACAGAUGC